AAGCGGGGGGUGGGGUGGGUGGCUGGAGCAGCCAGUCAGGGAACGGCCUGCUGUUUGCUUACAGGUCGAGGUUUUUUCCUCUCUCUUCACUCCAACAGGAUUGGUUUGUUCCACGAGAAAGAGGCGUUUUCUUAAUCUCCUCCCUUCCCCACGCCUCCUAUCCCCCUCCCCGGCCCCACCUUCCAGAAACCUGACUAAUUGAAUUACUGGGAGUGCCGAGGCGCCCUCUCCUCCGCCCGAACCCAGCAGCCGCGCGUAACCCUUUGGAUGCUGAAUUCCGUCUGGGCUGAGGAAUGAUUUGACAUCUUUUUACCUGAGAGUGAGGGCUUUCAGUUACAAUGGGACCGGUUCCCACCCUGUAGCCGGCGAGCCAAAAUCUGUCUCCCAGGCCCCGCAGGUGACAUGAAGUCCCAGCAGACAGACUGGCAGGGAGCCUUAAUGAAUACGUGUUCUUGUAAAUCUCUGCCCUGUUCACAACGUGCAUUACCCGGCGCUGGGUUAUCUUGGAAACCUGAGCUUCUCUCAGGUGCCUUUCAACUCGCCUCUUCCUACCAGGGACUUAAAGGUUCACGAACAGGAAGCAAGACUUUUCUUUACAGUGAUGCUCUGAAAACACGUUUGUUGUUGUUUUUUUUUUUUUUAAUUUUUAAUUUUUUUUUUUUAUUGAGAGAAUCACAGUAUAAAGUGAUUACAAUUCAAUGCGAUCCUUCAGAAGGAAGGAAAUGAAUGCGGCAGGGGAGUCCAUCAGAAAUACCUUACACCUUUUGCAUUUCAACCCCGAGGUUGCUUCGCUGCCCACUCCCCGAAGGAUAAAGUCUUUGAACGAACCCUAUGCGGGAAGAAUCGGAGGUCGGGAUAGGAGUUGCUUUAUUAUUGGAAAAGGCCUCCCGUUCCCGGACCUCUAGAGCAGGUUGCAGCUCCUUGGUCCCCGGCGGCCACCGAAGUACGAUCGCUUGACAGAGAGACAGUCCCCGGCGCUUCGGGACGCGUCCUCCUGUCCUCUAGCGCCCGGGAAGACAGCCCGGAGCCCGGCGCUCUGGGGCACCAACCCCUGGAGACUUGCCCUUGCGGGGCUCCGAGGGCUCGGGCCUUCAUGGUAUUAUUCCCUCCUGCUCUCUAGGGAGUUUGCUGCCUCUGUGGGAAGGGCUGAUCCCAAGAAAGCAAGCAGUUUAGUUUUGCUUUCAAACCUUCCUGUUUCUCCCUUUACUUAUUAGCCCAAUAAAAUCAAAUAUCACGUCCUCCCUCCUGUCUUUACAGUUUUCUAACUCAGACUUGCCAGGCGCUUCGAAGCUGUUUGGAAGCGUCCAGACGCCCUCCAGUGGUGGGCCUGAAGUCCGCACCCAGCGGGGGUAUUGCCUGCAUCUCAGCCCGGAUUGAGUUCCAUGGAGAAACUGGGGUCAAGAUCAGUAACGACUUGAAGAGAAAGCAACAGCUCACAUCGGCAUGGAACUACCUGGACGUAAUGAGCUCUUGCCUAAAAGGAUGAUGCAUCUCUUAGCCUUUCUGAAGGAGCUGUACUAAGUGCUCAGAUGACUGAGGCAGUUUUGCAGGAAAUGUUCAGGACUCUUUUAAGGGACAUGUGUAGCUUUAGGAAGAAGAGAAUUCACACUCCUGUCUUGGGGAAAAUGCUGAUCCUCAUCAGAAAGUCUUUUUAGUCAGGGAAAUAUCAGGUAUCAGGGAGUUAGCAAGCUGGCUUCCUGUGGUGUCAAAGCCAAAGGACUAAAGAAAAAGAAAUUAUAUCCAGUUAUUUCUAUUUGAAACUCAUACUGCAAAUGUGAAAAUUCAACAUAUCAAAAGAACGUAGAUGUCCUAAUAUUUUCAAUAUCUCUAAUUUGCUUAAAGUCUGGAUAAUCCAAUUUUAAACAGAAAAAAAAAUCAUACGUUAUGGUCUUAAAAUGAUUCAAGGAGUUGGAAUAAAAGAUACUGGAAUUUA